rnacentral:misc_RNA from 1 species
AAUUCUCAACUCUCCUAUACUGUUUUUGUAGAGGAGAGCUUGGAUUGUGGGGGCUUGCUGGCCACUCGUUUGAGGUCAGCUCCUCUGAAAUGCAUUAGCGGAACUGUUUGCGAUCUGCCACAAGUGUGAUAGAUUAUCUACACUGGCGAGGGGAUUGCUCUCUGUGUUGUUCUGCUUCUAAUUGUUUCAAUUUGAUGAAACAACUUUUUGAAU